rnacentral:SRP_RNA from 1 species
GCCGGGCGUGGUGGCACACGCCUGUAAUCCCAGCUACUUGGGAGGCUGAGGCAGAAGAAUUGCUUGAGCCCAGGAGACAGAGGUUGCAGUGAGCCGAGAUCAUGCCACUGCAUUCCAUCCUGGCCGACAGAGCCAGACUCUGUCUCAA